AAUCAACGCUGGCGGCGUGCCUCAGACAUGCAAGUCGAACGAUUAAAGCUCUCUUCGGAGAGUGUAUAGAGUGGCGCACGGGUGAGUAACACGUAAGUAAUCUACCUUUGAGUGGGGAAUAACGUCCGGAAACGGACGCUAAUACCGCAUAAUGCAGCGGCAUCGCAAGAUGACAGUUGUUAAAGAUUUAUCGCUUGAAGAGGAGCUUGCGGCAGAUAGCUAGUUGGUAAGGUAAUGGCUUACCAAGGCUACGAUCUGUAACCGGUCUAAGAGGACGGUCGGUCACACUGACACUGAAUAACGGGUCAGACUCCUACGGGAGGCAGCAGUCGGGAAUUUUGGGCAAUGGGCGAAGCCUGACCCAGCAACGCCGCGUGAAGGAU
rnacentral:rRNA from 1 species